rnacentral:rRNA from 1 species
GUAGGUGGCAAGCGUUGUCCGGAAUUAUUGGGCGUAAAGCGCGCGCAGGCGGUUCUUUAAGUCUGAUGUGAAAGCCCACGGCUCAACCGUGGAGGGUCAUUGGAAACUGGAGAACUUGAGUGCAGAAGAGGGAAGCGGAAUUCCACGUGUAGCGGUGAAAUGCGUAGAGAUGUGGAGGAACACCAGUGGCGAAGGCGGCUUUCUGGUCUGUAACUGACGCUGAGGCGCGAAAGCGUGGGGGAGCAAACAGGAUUAGAUACCCUGGUAGUCCACGCCGUAAACGAUGAGUGCUAAGUGUUAGGGGGUUUUCCGCCCCUUAGUGCUGCAGCUAACGCAUUAAGCACUCCGCCUGGGAGUACGGCCGCAAGGCUG